rnacentral:rRNA from 1 species
AAACCCUUAACGAGUAGCAAUUGGAGGGCAAGUCUGGUGCCAGCAGCCGCGGUAAUUCCAGCUCCAAUAGCGUAUAUUAAAGUUGUUGCAGUUAAAAAGCUCGUAGUUGGACCUUAGCUGUGACGUAGGCGGUCCUCCGUGAGGGAGUGUACUGUCUCGGUGCAGUUAUUUACUUGGGAGAUUGUUCGGUUCGGCCCUUAAUUGGGUCGGGCAUCGUUGUUUUCGGACGGCGGAGGCAGCGGUUUCUGCGGAGGUCGUUGUUUGGGCGCUCCCUCAUUUACUGUGAGUAAAUUAGAGUGUUUAAAGCAGCCUCUUUGGGCUUUGAGUACUAUUAGCAUGGGAUAAUGAAAUAGGACUUUGGUGCUAUUUUGUUGGUUUCUAGAACCGAAGUAAUGAUUAAUAGGGAUAGUUGGGGGCAUUUGUAUUUAGUUGUCAGAGGUGAAAUUCAUGGAUUUACGAAAGACAAACAUCAGCGAAAGCAUUUGCCAAGGAUGUUUUCAUUAAUCAAGAACGAAAGUUAGGGGAUCGAAGAUGAUCAGAUACCGUCGUAGUCCUAUACCAUAAACUAUGCCGACCAGGGAUUUGUGGAAGUUGAUAAUAUGUCCCUUCGGGGGUGUAUAAUGACUCCAUGAGCACCUUGUGAGAAAUCAUAAGUGUUUGGGUUCCGGGGGGAGUAUGGUCGCAAGGCUGAAACUUAAAGGAAUUGACGGAGGGGCACCACCAGGCGUGGAGCUUGCGGCUUAAUUUGACUCAACACGGGAAAACUUACCAGGCCAAGACAUUUGAAGGAUUGACAGAUUGAUAGCUCUUUCAUGAUUAUAUGGGUGGUGGUGCAUGGCCGUUCUUAGUUGGUGGAGUGAUUUGUCUGGUUAAUUCCGUUAACGAACGAGACCUCAACCUACUAAAUAGUUAUGCGUAUCAUCAAGGGCGCGUCGUGGCCUCCGGGUUGUGGCGUGUCCGAUACGUAGACAACUUCUUAGAGGGACAGUCGAUAUCAUUAAGACGAAGGAAGUGUGAGGCAAUAACAGGUCUGUGAUGCCCUUAGAUGUUCUGGGCUGCACGCGUGCUACACUGACAGAGCCAACGAGUAUACAACCUUGACCGAAAGGCCUGGGUAAUCUUUUGAAACUCUGUCGUGCUGGGGAUAGAUGAUUGUAAUUAUUCGUCUUGAACGAGGAAUGCCUAGUAAGUGCAACUCAUCAGGUUGCGCUGAUUACGUCCCUGCCCCUUGUACACACCGCCCGUCGCUCCUACC